rnacentral:lncRNA from 1 species
CUCUAAACCAUUUUGUUUUCCAAAUAUUUGGAUCACUAUUAUAAAAAUAUUUGGUUCGCUUCGAGACAUUCACUGAGGAGGUCGAUGGUUAAACUCGAUGAGUUAGAUAAUGUUAGUUCGACGUGGAUUGAUUCUGAUGUUCUUGUGUUUAAUACGGUUCAUUGGUGGAAUCGCGCAAAGCUUUUUGAAAUGAAAACGAUUAUGAGGCAGAAUACAGGGCUGUGAACGCUGAAGCUAAGAUCAAGUUGCUAACGAAAACUAGUAACGAGCUCAAGUUCAUCGGAGAAGGUGGUAAUGCUUGAGAGAAAGCUUAGGGAUGCUAAAACAAAGCUAAAAACUAACAAAUCCCGGACAAACAGUUUUGAAAACCUCGAGUCGAUGGUGGUGAUGAUGAUUAGCGUGCCAUAUGUGGAAGAAACUGUGGCCGAUGAUUAUUACGCAAUCCCCAGAUUUCUUUGAAAAAAAUUAGCUUUAACUUUCAAGCUAUAUGUAUAUAUGAAUGUAAUGAUCAUGAUCUAAAACCUUCAUUUUCUUGAAACUUAGGCAGAUAUUUCAAGAUUAGCAUAGCAGGCCACUUUCAUCUUUUUUUUUUUCUAGCCUUUUUAAGCAAGAACAUGUGAUCCAUUUAUGUUUGUCAUAUCCAAUUCAAAUAAAGCACAAUGUUGUAUGAAUCUGUUGAUUUUAUAUAAUUUUGGAAUAAUAGGGUUUGA